GUUCCCCGCUGGACCGGCCCAUUCUGGCAACUGUUGACGCGAGUCGCGCCCCAUCCUGCCCCCCGCUGUGGCCGCUGCUUCUGCUGCCGCCGGCGGUGGCUAAGCCAGUUAAUGACGUCACCGCCGCCUUUAUCUUCUCAGCCUUACCUGUGCCUCCCCGGCGAACCAGUCCGGCACUCCAUCGCGCUGUCGUGGCCAUCCCCCGCUGAUUUCCCUUGGCCCUCCGGCCGCGCGCCGUCGCCGGCAGCGAUGGGCCCGCCACGCUUACCGCCGGUAUACUAGUCGCUCGGGUUGGUGCGCCACACUCCCCUACGCCGUCGGCGUCAGCCACCACCGUCACCACGAGCCACUCCGCCGGAGCUCCACCUGAAGAAGUCAGAGCAGCGUUUCCCUCCACACAGAAGACCGAGGCUCCGAUCAAGCAAUCGAUCCCUAAGCAUCUUCUUGGCUGCUCCCUCUGAAAAAAAAUCCCCUUCAUUUGAUCUUCACAGCACAGGCAUGAGGCAUAUGCGAGAGGAGGCUGAAUAGGUAUGGCUCCCCUCCAAGUUUUUCUCCUCCUGUCACUGAUUUGUCUCUGCAAAUCCGACGACCGCCUUACUCCCGCAAAGCCGCUCUCCGCCGGCAGCAAGCUCGUCUCGGACAAUGGUGUCUUUGCUCUCGGCUUCUUCUCCCCAAAGAACUCAACUGCAGACUCAUAUGUCGGCAUAUGGUACAACAACAUCCCCGAGCGUACAUAUGUGUGGGUUGCUAACCGCGACAACCCGAUCACCAACGCUUCUCCUGGGAAGCUGGUCGUGACCAACAACUCCGACCUCGUCCUGUCUGACUCCCAAGGCCGCGCUCUUUGGACAACCAUGAACAACUUCACAUCCGGAACCACCGGAACCGCUGCUGUACUGCUCGACUCCGGAAACUUGGUCAUCCAGUUGCCCAAUGGUACAGACCUAUGGCAGAGCUUCCAUCACCCAACUGACACCAUCCUCCCCGGCAUGCCUUUACCACUGAGUGCAAAUGAUGAUCUCUACACUCGCCUUGUUGCUUGGAGGGGCCCUGAUGACCCAGCCACCAGCGACUACUCCAUGGGCGGUGACCCUAGUUCGGACCUCCAGGUUGUCAUCUGGAAUGGGACGAGACCGUAUUGGCGCAGAUCUGCGUGGAAUGGUGAAUUGGUCACUGCCUCGUAUCAAGGUAGCACUGGCUUCAUCAUGACCCUAAGAAUUGUCUACAGAGGGGAUAAGUUAUACAUGACAUUCACCGUCUCCGAUGACUCGCCAAGCAUGCGAAUGGUGCUGCACUACACGGGCGUGUUUAGGUUUCUGGCGUGGAACAGCAACUCGUCAUCAUGGGAGGUUUUCACAGAGCAGCCAAGUCCUAGUUGUGACCAAUAUGCCUAUUGCGGACCAUUUGGCUACUGUGAUGCCACUGAAACAGUUCCGAAAUGCAACUGCUUCAGUGGGUUUGAGCCUAAUGGUGUUAACUUCUCCAGAGGGUGUCGGAGAAAGGAGGAUCUGAAAUGUGGUGGUGGCGAUAAUUUCUUGACCUUCAGAGGUAUGAAGAUACCCGAUAAGUUCGUGUAUGUCAGGAACAGAGGCAUCGACCAAUGCAGAGCAGAAUGCAGCCGUAAUUGCGAUUGCACUGCGUAUGCUUAUGCUAACCUGCAAAAUGGCAGCACGUCUGAUGACAUGUCAAGGUGCUUGAUUUGGUUGGGGGAGCUUGUCGACACGGGAAAGUUUCGUGAUGGCGAGAACCUGUACCUCCAUAUAGCCAGUUCAACAGUUGACAAGGAGAGUAAUGUAUUGAAGAUUGUACUCCCAAUAAUUGCUAGUAUUCUGAUACUCACAUGUGUCAGCCUUGUGUGGAUAUGCAAGUCAAGAGGCAAACGACGAAUCAAGAAAAUUAAGAAUAAGUAUGCACGACAACACUCGAAAAAUUCCAAAUCUAUCGAACUUGAGAACGAAACCAUAGAACUUCCAUAUAUUUGCUUUGAAGAUGUUGUUACUGCAACGGACAAUUUCUCGGACUACAACAUGCUCGGGAAAGGUGGCUUCGGAAAAGUUUACAAGGGGAGGUUACAAGGUGGCAAUGAAGUUGCUGUCAAAAGGCUAAGCAAGAGUUCUGGUCAAGGGGCCGACGAGUUCAGAAAUGAACUGGUUCUGAUUGCCAAAUUGCAGCAUAGAAACUUAGUUAGGCUUCUUGGUUACUGCACUCACAAAGAUGAGAAGUUGUUGAUAUAUGAAUACUUACCUAACAAAAGCUUAGAUGCCUUCCUUUUUGAUGCCACAAGAGAUGGUGUGCUUGAUUGGCCGACCAGGUUCAAGGUAAUUAAAGGAAUAGCAAGGGGGCUUCUUUAUCUCCACCAAGAUUCAAGGCUAACAAUAAUCCAUAGAGAUCUCAAAGCAAGCAAUGUCUUGUUAGAUGCGGAAAUGAACCCUAAAAUAUCAGAUUUUGGUAUGGCAAGGAUCUUUGGAGGAAAUGAGCAACAAGGGAACACUGUCCGCGUUGUUGGUACAUACGGUUACAUGUCUCCUGAAUAUGCAAUGGAAGGUUCCUUUUCUGUCAAGUCUGACACCUAUAGCUUUGGUGUUCUACUCUUGGAGAUUGUAAGCGGGUUAAAGAUCAGUUCGUCCCAUCUCGUCAUGGACUUUCCAAGCCUUAUAGCUUAUGCAUGGAGCUUAUGGAAAGAUGGAAAUGCAAGAGAAUUGGUGGACUCGUCCAUUAUGGAGAUCUGUCCACUUCAUGAAGUUCUGCGGUGUAUUCAGUUAGGUCUCUUGUGUGUUCAAGAUGAUCCAAGUGCUCGUCCACUCAUGUCAUCCACCGUGUUCAUGUUAGAAAAUGAAACAGCCCCGCUUCCUACUCCGAAGGAGCCUGUAUAUUUUAGGCAACGGAAGUAUGAAGUUGAAGACCAAAGGCAUGACUAUGACCUGGAAAUGUCUCUUAAUGGCAUGACUAUGACAAUGGAAGAGGGGCGUUAAAUGUUUAGUUCCAUUGUUUUCCUUUUUGUAAAAUUCUCUAUUUUCAUAAACGGAUUCCAUAUUUUGUGAACUGCACUAGUGGAAGACCACCUGAUCAUGUGUGGAUCACUACUUACGCAGUUGUUCCCUCUUGAUGAAUUUUCUGCAUCCUAGCUUGCUCGGUUAGUCAAUGGGUCUGGAACUUUGAAUUGCUGUACUGGUAACAAGGCUGAUAGAAAGUCCAUGUUUUCUCUGAGCUGUGCAACUGCAUCAUAAUGCAGCAGGAAGAACUGAGAUGGUACACAUGUAUUAAUUCAGGUGGCAGCAAUGUGCCCCCUGAAUUAUAAUUAACCAUUUUCCUCUUCAAAAGGCGCCUUCUUUUAGGGUAUAAGACAUUGUUUGAAACAGGAAAUGUGGGCCGUAUGGGUCGUAGUACAGCGUGUCGGUUCAUGCCUUCAUGGUACGUCGCUUUGAAAUUCUGCUGUAAUCCUGAACCCUGUACCC
rnacentral:rRNA from 1 species